GGGGUGUAACUAAGUGGUAGAGUGCUUGCCUAGCACGCAGGAGGCCUUGGGUUCCAUUGCCAUUACUGCCCCA
rnacentral:tRNA from 1 species